rnacentral:lncRNA from 1 species
GUUUCUGUUUGUAGGGGCUGAUACUCUUUUUUUUUUUUUUUUUUAAAAGAUUUUUUUAUUUAUUAUAUGUAAGUACACUGUAGCUGUCUUCAGACACUCCAGAAGAAGGAGUCAGAUCUUGAUCUUGUUUCAGAUGGUUGUGAGCCACCAUGUGGUUGCUGGGAUUUGAACUCCGGACCUUCGGAAGAGCAGUCGGGUGCUCUUUCCCACUGAGCCAUCUCACCAGCCCGGGGCUGAUACUCUUUAGCUCAUACAGGAGAGCAGGCCUUAGGGGGGGUCUGAGAAAGCAGCCUAGAGGAAGUGGCACUUGAGCUGACUGCAGAAUCCACACAGGGCACGACGUGCCCAGGGAGCAGGGUUGGGACCUUGCUCAGGCAUUUUCGCUUUGUUGAGGAGUGAUUCAGAUUGUGGAAGGUUCUGUGACUCACACUGACUGGUGAAAGGUUUCCUCUCUUGUAGGCCCUAGCCUUUUCAGAGCCUAAGGUAGCCUGUGGAGACCUGCUCUCCUUGAACCCUUUUCUGGUAAGUAGAGUGCUCUGUUCCACUCCCAGGUCGUUAACUUCUGACUGGGUGCUGGGCAAGCUGCCGGUGUCCUCUGGUUGGGAGGUCAGACAUCAUGUUAUUCCCAGGCGAAGGACUUGAGGUGAGACAUUUCACGGAGAAUUGUGAAACACCAUUGCUACUGAAAACAGUGUCCUAUUAAAGUUCGGAAGAGAAACUAGGAGCCUGUUUGCAGCACAAACAUAAGCUGGCAAGAAGCACCACACCAUUGAAGUUUUUGGGUUUCCUGCACAUAUAAGUACCCAUUCAUGUGUGUACAUGAACACGCAUACGCAUGCACACACCGGCAUGCACUUCACCAGAUCCCAGGCACAAUGGUACUGUGUACACUUGAGUUCUCAAGCAGUGCUGCAAUCUGAAGUUUCCUGUGUUGCAACAUUCUUCAUACUGGGUAUUUAAUGACCAUGUUAUGGUCCACUGAGGGGAGGAACUAUUAUUUACAUUGUCAGAAAAUACCGUGAGCUUUAUUGUCUCUAAAAAUGUAAUCACUCAGUGAGUAUCUAAGCAUCUAUUGUAGGUCUUGUACAGAGAUGGUUGUACAUCAAGAUGCAGGGUCUGAGAUCACUGGGCUGCUCCCUGGGCGCAGGUCUAGUCCUAGGAACAUGUUCACUGCCUUCUGGUGUUGGUGUUGUGGCUUGAGACAUGGGGGUUUGUAGAGAUGGGACUCCUGGGUGCCCAGCCCGGUUCAUUGAAAGCUGGUAAAACCACUUUGUCAUUCACAAGCUGUCAGGAAGCUCAGGAACUGGAGCCAAGAGCUGCGAGAUCUUUCCAGGCUCUGUGUAGGAAGGCCUUCCACCUGCUCCCUCCCAAUUCUACCUGUCUCCUAUCUCCUGUGUAUACCAAAGGCCUGGGUCAGGAAACCCAUCUGGAAGAGGUGAAAGACCAAAAGUCUCUAAGGGGCUUUGUUCACAGGGUUGUCUCUGUUGAGGAUGCUACUGAGCAGGAAGGAGACUCCCGAGGGUAGGGAGAAAGGGGGAGGAAGGAAGAGGGGAUAGGGUUCCUCCUAAUGAGGGUGGGGAGGUCUGGAAACAUCUAGACACCUUGCCAGGGGCCCAGGUCUCAGUUGAGGCCUUGCUGAGAUGUUGUAAGAAUUGUAGCAAUAAGUUGCAACAGUUUGGCUUUGUUG